rnacentral:rRNA from 1 species
UACGGAGGGUGCAAACGUUGCUCGGAAUCAUUGGGCGUAAAGCGCACGUAGGCGGCCUGUUAAGUCGGGUGUGAAAGCCCUGGGCUCAACCCAGGAAGUGCACUCGAAACUAGCGGGCUUGAAUAUGGAAGAGGGUCGCGGAAUUCCCGGUGUAGAGGUGAAAUUCGUAGAUAUCGGGAGGAACACCAGUGGCGAAGGCGGCGACCUGGGCCAAUAUUGACGCUGAGGUGCGAAAAGCGUGGGGGAGCAAACAGG